GCGGGGCUCGCCGAGUUCCCGGUUCUGGGCGGGUGGGCCCGCCGGCUCCGGCCUGGUUUCCCCUACCUGUGGCGGGGAGUGAGGAAAGCCGGCCCUCGGAAAAAUGAUUAGGACUGUAAAGCCUUCUAGCUCCCUCUUGCCAAAAAGAGGCUGGUCACAGAGGCGGGAGACAGUCUGUUAAGCGGGGAGCUGACCAUCUGAGGACAGACACUGAGGAAGGAGGAUGGAAUGAUUUUGGCAGUGAAUGACAAUUCCUUCAACAAGACCCCCCUCCCACACUCACUUCAAAGGAACAGUGGACAGGAUGUGCUUUCCAAAAUACUGCAGUUUAAUUCUGAAAAACUCAAAUGCAAGAGGCCCAGAGCUGUCUACGGGAUUGGAUCUCCUGCAACCUGCCUUGGGCCCCAGAAGAGACUGGCAAUGUCAGCCUCCUCCCUGCUCUGCCUGAGAGAGGCCACGGAGAACUUCCUUAUCGGGCCCAAACUGGAGCCGCUGACUGCUCAGAGCAAGAUUUCUGCCUUGAAAGCAAAUGCAGUAGCCUCAGAAAUGUGCAGCGCAUGCUUCUUCCUCCCCCUCUCCCCCUCCAGUCCGGCAGAGCUGCAGUAAAGAUGCCUGCAGGUCAUGACCUCAUGUUUCCUGUCCACUUCCCAUGGCAGGGAUCAGAGCUUUGGGAGAUAUGUGACCAAGGAGGACACAUGAACUUGCUACCCCUCUCUCUACCCCAGACAUACCCACAUGACCUUGUUUUACUCAUAUUGCAUUGGUUUAACUCGGAAAUGGGUGACCUCCCACCACCUAACCCGACUCAGUAGGAGGGGAGGUAAAGCAGUUUAGGCCCUGGUAUCUGUUUGAGAAGUUAAAGGAAAGGGCAUGGGUGGUCAGGGAAGAGGCAGAGCUUGGGGUCAAAGGGAUACAUGUCAGGGGAGGUUUGCUUAAUCUUGUCUCCCACCAGCUCCAGGAGCCAGGGAUUUCUCUCUUUUUUUUUCACAACACAUUCCAAACCUAGGAAAGGGAUUUCUCCUUAUCUGGCUCUUAACCCAGGAGGGCUAAACACUUCAGCUGCUUGAAGAAAUCGCCUGUGGAGCUGCAUGCCUGCCAAAGGAUUGGGAUAAGACACAUCUAGCCUGGGCAUGGUGCCUUCUGC
rnacentral:lncRNA from 1 species